rnacentral:rRNA from 1 species
GCUUAACACAUGCAAGUCGAGGGGUAUAGUUCUUCGGAACUAGAGACCGGCGCACGGGUGCGUAACGCGUAUGCAAUCUACCUUAUACAGGGGAAUAGCCCAGAGAAAUUUGGAUUAAUGCCCCAUAGUGUUAUAGAAUCGCAUGGUUUUAUAACUAAAGUUCCAACGGUAUAAGAUGAGCAUGCGUCCCAUUAGUUAGUUGGUAAGGUAACGGCUUACCAAGGCGAUGAUGGGUAGGGGUCCUGAGAGGGAGAUCCCCCACACUGGUACUGAGACACGGACCAGACUCCUACGGGAGGCAGCAGUGAGGAAUAUUGGUCAAUGGGCGCAAGCCUGAACCAGCCAUGCCGCGUGCAGGAAGAAUCAUCUAUGGUGUGUAAACUGCUUUUAUACAGGAAGAAACCUCCCUACGAGUAGGGACUUGACGGUACUGUAGGAAUAAGGAUCGGCUAACUCCGUGCCAGCAGCCGCGGUAAUAC